rnacentral:rRNA from 1 species
AUGGAGGGCUUGCUGCAUUGGGAUUUUGCACCGGACAUUGCCCUUGCAGAUCAGGUGAGACAAAGGUUUGGCUCCACGGUCCAUUUCUCUCCAUCUAGAGAUGCCAAGGAGUUCUUUUUGCUGGUAUCUUUCUCUUCGGCCUCCUUUCCCCUCUUGGUGGAUUUUGUUGGCAUCGCUCUGCGAUGUUGUAUUGGUGGUGUUUGCUCGGGUUUCCAUGUUGUCCAAAUCAACUCCCGUUCCUUUCGGUUUUCUGUGGUGAACAACAAAGUGGGGCAUUUCAUCUAUAAGCUCAAAUACCGCAUUUGGCCAGAUUUUGUGUGUCAUUUUCGUCUGUUUAUCGGGGAAUUUGCUAAAGCCCCAAUAGUUGCCACUAGUUGGCAUGCGGACACAGAAUUGACUGUUAUUGCUGCUCGCAAACCUCUGGCUAUCAAAUCUGAUUUGAGGUUCUUACAUCACAACAACUAUGUCACUCCUGACUCGCCUACGGGUGGCACGAUGAGUAGCCUGAAACCUAUUUCCUCCAUGGUUUUCUUGGAUAACAAUGCUCAUGAGUCUUCAUCUUCAACCUUCCCAACGGAGAUGAUCAUUCGUGAUUCAUCAAAGGAUAUUCAAAUUAAUUUUGGAUCUUUUUCUCCUGUGGUAAGAGAUUCCCACAUUCAUGACCCCCCCUAA